rnacentral:rRNA from 1 species
UAGGGAAUCUUCCACAAUGGACGCAAGUCUGAUGGAGCAACGCCGCGUGAGUGAAGAAGGUUUUCGGAUCGUAAAGCUCUGUUGUUGGGGAAGAAGGAUAGAGGCAGUAACUGGUCUUUAUUUGACGGUAAUCAACCAGAAAGUCACGGCUAACUACGUGCCAGCAGCCGCCGUAAUACGUAGGUGGCAAGCGUUGUCCGGAUUUAUUGGGCGUAAAGCGAGCGCAGGCGGAAUGAUAAGUCUGAUGUGAAAGCCCACGGCUCAACCGUGGGACUGCAUCGGAAACUGUCAUUCUUGAGUGCAGAAGAGGAGAGUGGAAUUCCAUGUGUAGCGGUGUAAUGCGUAGAUAUAUGGAAGAACACCAGUGGCGAAGGCGGCUCUCUGGUCUGCAACUGACGCUGAGGCUCGAAAGCAUGGGUAGCGAACAGG